GGCAAUUUGUCCCCGAUUCAGUUUUUUGAGGGAUUUUUUUUUUGAGGGAACGUCCCUGAUUCAGUAGGAGGUUGGGCGCCCGUUCAGCUUUCUCUCGAUCAAUCUGGUGCGCUCUUAUUGAGGGGCUGAGCUGGGCCGGGUGCUACCUGGGCUGUAGCAAAAUAGGAUAAAACAACAGGCAAAAAAAAAAAGAAAUGAGGCCAGUCAAGAUUUGUUAGCCCAUUAGCACCACCAGGCCCAUGGAAGCACCACCCAGCCCAGGGAGCAGCAGGGCUGCUCGAAGCAAGCCUGAGCCACGCUAUCUUCUAUGAAAAGGAAUGUUUUGCUCAAACAAAAAUGAAAAGAAAUAUCAGUUAAAACACGAACACAAAAACACUUCUGUCAUGUUGGCUAUCAACCUUUCAGAUGUUUUUACCUUCUCGGUUGAGCGUUCAAAUUUGGAACACGCAAGUAUUUAACAGAUUUAAUUACUUUGAUUAGCAAAGAUUAAUAGUCAUUAUAGCGUCUCAAAUUUCAUCUCUAUCUUAAAUGUAAUUUUUUUUAUCAAUUACUUAGAAA
rnacentral:lncRNA from 1 species